GCCGCCAUUUUGUGCAGCGGGCAGCGAGGCGCCCGCGCGCCAGCGGGGAGCGGCGCCAUUUCCUGCCCUCCCCCGGCGCGCGCCGGCAGCGCCUGAGGCGGCGGGGACGGGACGGGCACGGUGAGGGGAAGGGCAGCGCCCCCGGGCCCCCGGGAGCGGAUCCGCCUCGGCCGGGGCCAUCCGCGCUCCCUUGGGCCCUGCGCGGGCCCCGCGGGGCCGCACGGCCGGGCCCGGGACUGUGGGCGCUCUGCCCUUCCCUUCCCGGCCUCCUGCCGCAUUAUCUCCGCUGCCAUGCCAGCCCGGCUCUGGGGGAGAAGGACGCUCUGCUUAAGGCUGUGCUUGGGAGUGUUGUCCUUACCAGAUUUUUAGAAUCCUUGUCUAUCCCCGCUGGACUACGUGACAUCUCAGGAAAUCAUUGAUCAGCCACUUGAUGUGUUAACAUACCUGGAGUUCAACUACCUUCAGGUAAUGAAAUAAAUUGUUUUCAAAUCUAA